AGUUGCGUUAGUCAGCAAGGUUAAGUCAGAAAAGACGGAGCCGUAGCGAAAGCGAGUCUGAAGAGGGCGAACAGUUGGCUGACGCAGACCCGAAACCAAGUGACCUACCCAUGACCAGGUUGAAGGCGCGGUAAAACGCGCUGGAGGACCGAACCCACGUAAGUUGAAAAUUGCGGGGAUGAGUUGUGGGUAGCGGUGAAAUUCCAAACGAACUUGGAGAUAGCUGGUUCUCUCCGAAAUAGCUUUAGGGCUAGCCUCGCAAAGAGGAUGCUGGAGGUAGAGCUCUGUUUGGACUAGGGGCCCGUCAAGGGUUACUGAAUUCAGAUAAACUGCGAAUUCCAGACAUUUAUGUGCGGGAGUCAGACUGCGAGUGAUAAGAUCCGUAGUCGAAAGGGAAACAGCCCAGAUCACCAGUUAAGGUCCCAAAAUUCAUGCUAAGUGGAAAAGGAUGUGGAGUUGCGCAGACAACUAGGACGUUGGCUCAGAAGCAGCCAUCAUUCAAAGAGUGCGUAAUAGCUCACUAGUCGAGUGACGCCGCGCCGAAAAUUUACCGGGGCUAAGCAUGAUACCGAAACUGUGGAUGUGCAUUUAUGCACGUGGUAGGAGAGCGUUCUAGCGGCGGUGAAGCAUGACCGAGAGGACAUGUGGAGCUUCUAGAAGUGAGAAUGCCGGUAUGAGUAACGAAAGACAGGUGAGAAUCCUGUCCGCCGCAAGACUAAGGUUUCCUGGGGCAGGCUCGUCCGCCCAGGGUAAGUCGGGACCUAAGGCGAGGCCGAGAGGCGUAGUCGAUGGACAACAGGUUGAAAUUCCUGUACUGCACCGAAUCGUUAUGAGCGAUGGAGGGACGCAGGAGGCUAGCAGCGCGUGGUGCUGGAUACCACGUUCAAGCGUCAAGUCUGAGAGUGAGUCAAAUGCUUGCUCUCAUAAGGACAAGGCGUGAUGAGGAGCGAAAUUAAAGUAGCGAAGGCUGCGACGUCACACUGCCGAGAAAAGCUUCUAGCCAGAGACGGUGCACCCGUACCGCAAACCGACACAGGUAGUCGAGGAGAGUAUCCUCAGGUGAGCGAGAGAACUCUCGUUAAGGAACUCGGCAAAAUGGCCCCGUAACUUCGGGAGAAGGGGCGCUGGUCGCAAGAUCAGCCGCAGUGAAAAGGCCCAAGCAACUGUUUAUCAAAAACACAGGCAUCUGCAAAAUCGUAAGAUGAAGUAUAGGUGCUGACACCUGCCCGGUGCUGGAAGGUUAAGAGGAGAGCUUAGCGCAAGCGAAGGUUUGAAUUGAAGCCCCAGUAAACGGCGGCCGUAACUAUAACGGUCCUAAGGUAGCGAAAUUCCUUGUCGGGUAAGUUCCGACCUGCACGAAAGGUGUAAUGAUUUGGGCACUGUCUCAACGAGAGACUCGGUGAAAUUAUAAUACCCGUGAAGAUGCGGGUUACCCGCGACAGGACGGAAAGACCCCAUGGAGCUUUACUGCAGUUUAAUAUUGGGUAUCUGUCAAGCAUGUACAGGAUAGGUAGGAGCCGGAGAAGAUAGGACGCCAGUCUUAUCUGAGGCGCUGUUGGGAUACUACCCUUGCUUGACGGAUGCUCUAACUCAGGCCUGUGAUCCAGGCCGAGGACAGUGUUUGACGGGCAGUUUGACUGGGGCGGUCGCCUCCUAAAGUGUAACGGAGGCGCCCAAAGGUUCCCUCAGAAUGGUUGGAAAUCAUUCGCAGAGUGUAAAGGUAAAAGGGAGCUUGACUGCGAGAGAGACAACUCGAGCAGGUACGAAAGUAGGGCUUAGUGAUCUGGUGGUACCGUAUGGAAGGGCCAUCACUCAACGGAUAAAAGCUACCCUGGGGAUAACAGGCUUAUCUCCCCCAAGAGUUCACAUCGACGGGGAGGUUUGGCACCUCGAUGUCGGCUCGUCGCAUCCUGGGGCUGAAGUCGGUCCCAAGGGUUGGGCUGUUCGCCCAUUAAAGCGGCACGCGAGCUGGGUUCAGAACGUCGUGAGACAGUUCGGUCCCUAUCCGUCGUGGGCGUAGGAAAUUUGAGAGGAGCUGUCCUUAGUACGAGAGGACCGGGAUGGACGCACCGCUGGUGUACCAGUUGUCUUGCCAAAGGCAUCGCUGGGUAGCUAUGUGCGGACGGGAUAAGCGCUGAAAGCAUCUAAGUGCGAAGCCCCCCUCAAGAUGAGAUUUCCCAUUUCUUCAAGAAAGUAAGACACCUCAGAGACGAUGAGGUAGAUAGGCCGGGAGUGGAAGAGCCGUGAGGCUUGGAGCGGACCGGUACUAAUCAGUCGAGGACUUGACCAAAA
rnacentral:rRNA from 1 species